rnacentral:rRNA from 1 species
AUUGAACGCUGGCGGCAGGCCUAACACAUGCAAGUCGAGCGAGCGGCGGACGGGUGAGUAAUGUCUGGGAAACUGCCUGAUGGAGGUGGAUAACUACUGGAAACGGUAGCUAAUACCCCAUACCAUCAGCUUUGCCCAGCUGUGAUUAGCUAGUAGGUGGGUUAACGGCUCACCUAGGCGACGAUCCCUAGCUGGUCUGAGAGGAUGACCAGCAACACUGGAACUGAAAAACGGUCCAGACGCCUACGGGAGGCAGCAGUGGGGAAUAGUGCACAAUGGGCGCAAGCCUGAUGCAGCAAUGCCGCGUGUGUGAAGAAGGCCUUCGGGUUGUAAAGAACUUUCAGCGGGGAGGCGUUACCCGCAGAAGAAGCACCGGCUAACUCCGUGCCAGCAGCCGCGGUAAUUC